AAUUAGCGGAUGACUUGUGGCUGGGGGUGAAAGGCCAAUCAAACCGGGAGAUAGCUGGUUCUCCCCGAAAGCUAUUUAGGUAGCGCCUCGUGAAUUCAUCUCCGGGGGUAGAGCACUGUUUCGGCAAGGGGGUCAUCCCGACUUACCAACCCGAUGCAAACUGCGAAUACCGGAGAAUGUUAUCACGGGAGACACACGGCGGGUGCUAACGUCCGUCGUGAAGAGGGAAACAACCCAGACCGCCAGCUAAGGUCCCAAAGUCAUGGUUAAGUGGGAAACGAUGUGGGAAGGCCCAGACAGCCAGGAUGUUGGCUUAGAAGCAGCCAUCAUUUAAAGAAAGCGUAAUAGCUCACUGGUCGAGUCGGCCUGCGCGGAAGAUGUAACGGGGCUAAACCAUGCACCGAAGCUGCGGCAGCGACGCUUAUGCGUUGUUGGGUAGGGGAGCGUUCUGUAAGCCUGUGAAGGUGUGCUGUGAGGCAUGCUGGAGGUAUCAGAAGUGCGAAUGCUGACAUAAGUAACGAUAAAGCGGGUGAAAAGCCCGCUCGCCGGAAGACCAAGGGUUCCUGUCCAACGUUAAUCGGGGCAGGGUGAGUCGACCCCUAAGGCGAGGCCGAAAGGCGUAGUCGAUGGGAAACAGGUUAAUAUUCCUGUACUUGGUGUUACUGCGAAGGGGGGACGGAGAAGGCUAUGUUGGCCGGGCGACGGUUGUCCCGGUUUAAGCGUGUAGGCUGGUUUUCCAGGCAAAUCCGGAAAAUCAAGGCUGAGGCGUGAUGACGAGGCACUACGGUGCUGAAGCAACAAAUGCCCUGCUUCCAGGAAAAGCCUCUAAGCAUCAGGUAACAUCAAAUCGUACCCCAAACCGACACAGGUGGUCAGGUAGAGAAUACCAAGGCGCUUGAGAGAACUCGGGUGAAGGAACUAGGCAAAAUGGUGCCGUAACUUCGGGAGAAGGCACGCUGAUAUGUAGGUGAAGUCCCUCGCGGAUGGAGCUGAAAUCAGUCGAAGAUACCAGCUGGCUGCAACUGUUUAUUAAAAACACAGCACUGUGCAAACACGAAAGUGGACGUAUACGGUGUGACGCCUGCCCGGUGCCGGAAGGUUAAUUGAUGGGGUCAGCGCAAGCGAAGCUCUUGAUCGAAGCCCCGGUAAACGGCGGCCGUAACUAUAACGGUCCUAAGGUAGCGAAAUUCCUUGUCGGGUAAGUUCCGACCUGCACGAAUGGCGUAAUGAUGGCCAGGCUGUCUCCACCCGAGACUCAGUGAAAUUGAACUCGCUGUGAAGAUGCAGUGUACCCGCGGCAAGACGGAAAGACCCCGUGAACCUUUACUAUAGCUUGACACUGAACAUUGAGCCUUGAUGUGUAGGAUAGGUGGGAGGCUUAGAAGUGUGGACGCCAGUCUGCAUGGAGCCGACCUUGAAAUACCACCCUUUAAUGUUUGAUGUUCUAACGUUGACCCGUAAUCCGGGUUGCGGACAGUGUCUGGUGGGUAGUUUGACUGGGGCGGUCUCCUCCUAAAGAGUAACGGAGGAGCACGAAGGUUGGCUAAUCCUGGUCGGACAUCAGGAGGUUAGUGCAAUGGCAUAAGCCAGCUUGACUGCGAGCGUGACGGCGCGAGCAGGUGCGAAAGCAGGUCAUAGUGAUCCGGUGGUUCUGAAUGGAAGGGCCAUCGCUCAACGGAUAAAAGGUACUCCGGGGAUAACAGGCUGAUACCGCCCAAGAGUUCAUAUCGACGGCGGUGUUUGGCACCUCGAUGUCGGCUCAUCACAUCCUGGGGCUGAAGUAGGUCCCAAGGGUAUGGCUGUUCGCCAUUUAAAGUGGUACGCGAGCUGGGUUUAGAACGUCGUGAGACAGUUCGGUCCCUAUCUGCCGUGGGCGCUGGAGAACUGAGGGGGGCUGCUCCUAGUACGAGAGGACCGGAGUGGACGCAUCACUGGUGUUCGGGUUGUCAUGCCAAUGGCACUGCCCGGUAGCUAAAUGCGGAAGAGAUAAGUGCUGAAAGCAUCUAAGCACGAAACUUGCC
rnacentral:rRNA from 1 species